UACGUAGGGGGCGAGCGUUGUCCGGAGUUACUGGGCGUAAAGCGCACGCAGGCGGUCUGCUAAGUUUGGAGUGACAGUUGGUGGCUUAACUGCCAAAGUGCUUCGAAAACUGACAGACUUGAGGGCUUCAGAGGGACACGGAAUUCCGGGUGGAGUGGUGAAAUGCGUAGAGAUCCGGAGGAACACCAAAGGCGAAGGCAGUGUCCUGGGGAGUACCUGACGCUCAGGUGCGAAAGCCAGGGGAGCGAACGGGGAAUUAGACGUACCCGUAGU
rnacentral:rRNA from 1 species